rnacentral:rRNA from 2 species
AACCAACAGGGAUUCCCCUAGUAACGGCGAGUGAAGCGGGAACAGCUCAAAUUUGAAAUCUGGCCCUUGGGUCCGAGUUGUAAUUUGCAGAGGAUGCUUUUGGUGCGGUGCCUUCCGAGUUCCCUGGAACGGGACGCCUUAGAGGGUGAGAGCCCCGUACGGUUGGCCACCAAGCCUGUGUAAAGCUCCUUCGACGAGUCGAGUAGUUUGGGAAUGCUGCUCAAAAUGGGAGGUAUAUUUCUUCUAAAGCUAAAUACUGGCCAGAGACCGAUAGCGCACAAGUAGAGUGAUCGAAAGAUGAAAAGCACUUUGAAAAGAGGGUUAAAUAGCACGUGAAAUUGUUGAAAGGGAAGGAUUUAUGACCAGACUUUUUCUGGGGGGAUCAUCCGGUGUUCUCACCGGUGCACUUCCCCCAGUUGAGGCCAGCAUCGGUUUCUGCCGGGGGAUAAAAGCUUUGGGAAUGUGGCUCCUUCGGGAGUGUUAUAGCCCGUUGCAUAAUACCCUGGCGGGGACCGAGGUUCGCGCAUUGCAAGGAUGCUGGCGUAAUGGUUAUUAAUCACCCGUCUUGAAACACGGACCAAGGAGUCGAACAUUUGUGCGAGUGUUUGGGUGUUAAACCCUCACGCGUAAUGAAAGUGAACGGAGGUGAGAGCCUUUAGGGGUGCAUCAUCGACCGAUCCUGAUGUCUUCGGAUGGAUUUGAGUAAGAGCAUAACUGUUCGGACCCGAAAGAUGGUGAACUAUGCGUGGAUAGGGUGAAGCCAGAGGAAACUCUGGUGGAGGCUCGCAGCGGUUCUGACGUGCAAAUCGAUCGUCAAAUCUGCGCAUGGGGGCGAAAGACUAAUCGA